CCUACGGGGGGCAGCAGUGGGGAAUAUUGCACAAUGGGGGGAACCCUGAUGCAGCGACGCCGCGUGGGUGAAGGAGUAUUUCGGUAUGUAAAGCCCUAUCAGCAGGGAAGAACAAUGACGGUACCUGACUAAGAAGCACCGGCUAAAUACGUGCCAGCAGCCGCGGUAAUACGUAUGGGGCGAGCGUUAUCCGGAUUCACUGGGUGUAAAGGGAGCGUAGACGGCCAUGCAAGCCAGGGGUGAAAGCCCGGGGCCCAACCCCGGGACUGCCCUUGGAACUGCAUGGCUGGAGUGCGGGAGGGGCAGGCGGAAUUCCUGGUGUAGCGGUGAAAUGUGUAGAUAUCAGGAGGAACACCGGCGGCGAAGGCGGCCUGCUGGACCGCGACUGACGUUGAGGCUCGAAAGCGUGGGGAGCGAACAGGAUUAGAUACCCCAGUAGUC
rnacentral:rRNA from 1 species